UGCCCCGGCCCAGCAGGGCAGCGGGGCCGGUGCCCCCCGGCUGCCCCCCGGGUGUCCGCGGGUGCCCACCCGGGCUCCCAGCGCCCCCGAACCCGCCGGCCGCCCGAGCCUGGCCCAGGCCGGGGAGCGCUGCCCAAGAGGUGACUUGUCCUCGGAAGGGGAAGCGUUCCCCAAAAUAACCCAGGGAGCCGCGAGACGAGGCGCUGCUGCGGGGCGCGCGGGGCGUGAGCGGCCCUGGGGAAGCCGCCGGGGCCGCAGAGCCCGCCGCAGCCUCAGCCGCCCCGCGCUGCUGCUCCGCUCGCAGGGCGGCCCCGGGACGGCUCGUUUCCCGUCUCCCUGCUCCACGUCCUGCACACACCCCUCGCAGAUGGCGUUUGGAGGAACGCCGUUCCUCCCCAGCACAGCCACGAGCCUCUGGAAGCUGCGACUGCUCAGUCAGGAUGCCUGAACGCUUGCUAACUAACAGGCGCUUGUGCUCGGGCUCUGGGCACCAUUCCUACCACAGGAGAGGCAGGGAGCAGGGAUCAGAGCUGGGGAGAGGAGGGGCUGCUGGAGCUGCUGCCAACAGAAACGUCUCUGGGACGGCAGCCAAGCAAUCAGCACACCAUAAGACCUCUUACAACUAAUACUCUGUACAACAGCCACACCUGCUGCCUACAAGUUACAUGUUCUCAGGAAGCUGAAGGAGAACUCAACAUACAAAAAUCUGUGUCAGAGUUCAAGCAAAAACAUGAUAUUACUUGGCAAGAGGAAUGUGUAUCUAACAUGUCAAAUUACAGCUCCUGACUAGAACGGGAUCGUUUUGGCGAGAGCCCCUUGUGACUGUUCCCAACCACAUGCCUCUUCCUAGGAGAUGAUAAGAAGCGAGAUGGAAGCCUUGAUGUCCCUGUUGAAGCUUCAUCCUGACGUCAGGAAGGCUUUGCCAUCUGACUGAAGGCGUAUCAGAGAAGAGCCUUCAGGAAUGUUAUCUGGGCUGCUCUCCCCAUGUUUUUCAAAUGCUGGUCCACUCUCAGUCAAUGAUGGCUUUUCUUGCCCAGUUCCUUAUGGAGACAAACUGAUCUUGGUGAGGAGGCACAGGACAGAGGGACAGCUGAGUGGAGACUGGUGCUCUGAAGGAGCUAAGAUGGACAUUGCCACCCAUCCAGGGCUGCUGAGGGGUCUGGUAGGUACAGAGUGGCUGGGAGCAGGCGUCUGGGCUGUGGUGGGUAGGUCUUCUGUUCUCAGCUGUUUGUGGUCCUUGUGUGCUUCAAGAUGGAAAUCUGGGUAGGUGGGUAAUUCCCUCGCUGAGUCUGUGUUCCCUGCUUGCCAUGCUGUCAUCUAAGGAAUGAUGUGAGGAGUCCAGAACUCCUGGCAGAGAUGGAGCUUCAGGUUGCACAAAUAAAGCCUGAAGGACAGCACGGGAUCUCAGAUCUAGCAGGCUGGGUGGCACUGAAGUGAAACGGAAAGCUGAGCCUAGCUCUGGGUCCCCAGAUGUAGAAACAGCAGCAAAAUUCAACUUUCCUGGUGGCUAAUGAGUGGGUGAAUGUCCAGCCCUGAGCUACAAUGGGGCUUGGAAAUCCCUCAGAAUAUUUACAUACAGGGUCGGGUUUGCUUAAGAUGAAAUAUUGCAUAGCUGCUGAUUUUCUUCCUAAUCCUGACCACAGGGAACACUUCCAAGACCCAAAUCUCUGUCUACUCACUGAUCUCAACCCCCCCCACCUUUUUCUGAUGGGUGCCACACGAAGCUUUACAUCUGAGUCUCUUUACAAACUGCAGAAAAAGCUUUUCUUACAAAGAUAAAGUGUUCCCCACCAUCUGUGCACUAGAAAGGACACAAAACACCCUUUUCCUGUUCUAGGAGGACACUUUCCAUGUUGUCAGUAUUUGUAAGAGAGCAGAACUAUGAAAUGACCUAGGAAAGCAGUUAGGAGGCCUGAGAAGUGAGCAGUGGUUUGGAUGCUUUUAAUUGUCUUCCCUGCAGAGCAGCAACCAACCUACACAUUAUUUCCCUGCUGCUGUCAUGCUGCCUGCUACACUGUAAAUAAAGUAGGUAGGUGCAAUCAAGAGUUCCAAAGAUGGUAUCUCGUGGUAGGUGACCCUGAUUUAAUCAGCUUUUUGUCCACUACUAUACUUUGUGUUUUGCAAACGGGGUCGGAGUCCACUCUUGUGCUGGUAUCAACAACAGUGCUACUAAUAUUAAAAACAAUUUGGCUCUGGAAAGCAAAGAUGAAGCAGCUCAACCCUCCACUUCCCUGCAGCAACAUGAAUUGAAAUAACUGUGGUGAGGUUUCCCUUCUUAUGAUGGCAGGAUCCUGGCUCUACCACCUGCAUUUUUGUCCCAGAAAGAAACUGGUUGGAACAAACAGGAUGUUUCAUGGGAAAUUGCACCAGCUAAUGUUUGGAGAGUCAGGAAGGCAGGACGGAUUUAGAGGCCCUCGUGGCUCCAAGGGUGUUUGAUUAUCUAGGUCCCUGCCUUUGGGUAACUGGGGCCUCGAAGGGUGGCUUGGGCUUGUAAGUCUCUCUCCUGGUCAGUGGUGAUUACAGACUGUAAAGGACCCAAAGGAAUUCAAAAGCUUGUGCCAUUUCCAGCAGAGAAAAUAGCAACAGUCAUCGCUUCAAAUCAACAUGAAGUGUUAGACACCCAAAAAAUUAGUAUCAGAUAUUUCAGGGCAAGCCUUUUUAAUUGCGAUUGUUCUAUGUGGGAUUUUUUAUUAUUUUUUUUUAAUUCCAGUAAAAGUAUUUGGUAUUUUAAGUCUUUAAUUGUCGUGGCAAAAAAAGCCACUCAAGGGCUUUGAUUUUUGUAUUAUUAUUUUGUUUUGGAAGCACUUGUGUGUGAGUGAUCCCAGUGGGUUCAUAACGGGUACUUUUCCAUCAAGAGCUAUUUUUAGCAAUGAAGUCAUAUCUGUAAUGCAAAAGGAAGAUUAAACUAAACUUUGCAAUAUCCUAAAAGAUUAAACAGUCCUGCAGCCCCAAAAUAAGUGAAGUUGGCCCUGACACUGUAUUCCAGCUCAUCUUAUGAGGCUGAGGGUCAGAGGGAGAGAAUUUGUGAGCUCUGCAACUCAAGAGAAGAUGGCAGAAGUGAAACACACAGGUACAACUUGUUUUUUUCCAGACCAACUUUGGAAGCCAAAGACUCAGUGCUCUAGAAAACCAGCAAAAGCAUGUGGGGGUCACUGCUGCAGCCCUUCUCAGAUGGGUUCUGUUGCAUCCAGGACCGUGCUGGUAGUGCCACAACUUAUGACACCUCAUCCAGAAUACCUCAUGGUAUCACUGGUUGGCCCCAGCAUUACGCCUUUGGUUGUCCCUGGUGCUCCAGGGUUCUGAGGCAUGAAAUUCUCCUUGGAAUGCCCUGAACCUGGAGGGCUGGGCUCAAGACCCGGGAGAGGACUUUGCCCCCUUUGCUGGGCUUGGCCAUCGUGUUUCUUCUUCUGGUCAGGGAAAGGAUGAGCAAGUGGCAGUGAUGGAGGCCUGAUCUUGGGCAGUGGGCACAUCCCCCCCUCCUUCCAGAAGGGGACCUCCUCCUAAACACUGAUCAGCAGAACACCAAGUACAUACAGUCCUGCCUUCACCUCCUGGAGCUGACUCCACAUGGUGGGGCCAAGGUCUGGUGUAGUCUUUCCUCAAGAGUCAAACCCUCUGCUCUUCCUUGAAUUUCUAGUCCCUGGAUGCUGCUCACCUGCCUCCCUGUACCACAGGCAGCUCCUGUCGGGCUGGGCAGGGCAAAUCAGCACAUGAUGCUCUCUGUACCCCAGAAAACCCCAGGUGCUGGAAGCCUGGUAGCUCUGGCUACAGGGCUACCACCUUGCGUUGCCAACACUUCUCUAACCUGACUGUGGUUUCUGUUGGGUUUAUUGUAUUUCUUUCUUGUAAACUUGUUUUCUUGUUA